rnacentral:rRNA from 1 species
GACGAACGCUGGCGGCGUGCUUAACACAUGCAAGUCGAACGGAAAGGCCCUGCUUUUGUGGGGUGCUCGAGUGGCGAACGGGUGAGUAACACGUGAGUAACCUGCCCUUGACUUUGGGAUAACUUCAGGAAACUGGGGCUAAUACCGGAUAGGAGCUCCUGCUGCAUGGUGGGGGUUGGAAAGUUUCGGCGGUUGGGGAUGGACUCGCGGCUUAUCAGCUUGUUGGUGGGGUAGUGGCUUACCAAGGCUUUGACGGGUAGCCGGCCUGAGAGGGUGACCGGCGACAUGGGGACUGAGAUACGGCCCAGACUCCUACGGGAGGCAGCAGUGGGGAAUAUUGCACAAUGGGCGGGAGCCUGAUGCAGCAACGCCGCGUGCGGGAUGACGGCCUUCGGGUUGUAAACCGCUUUCGCCUGUGACGAAGCGUGAGUGACGGUAAUGGGUAAAGAAGCACCGGCUAACUACGUG